GUGGAAACGAACUUGGAUGAGUACACCACGUUACAUGAUAAUUCAAAAGGCCUCCACCCUCCUUAUCUGAUAAUCAAACAUUGCCCGUUCGAUCAGCCGAAGAAAAAACUCGAGCAUUUUUAGCCCGAGUUUUGACGAACCCAGAAACUACCGCGAAGCGUCCGAUUACAAUUCCCUAUGAAAAGAGUCAUAAGCUCAAAAAAUCAACUGCAGAUCCAAAUCCAGCAACGAGAACAAGAAAGAAGCUGUUUUUGAAGAAACGAAGUUAGUACAGGGAGAGAUGAGCAGAUUUUAAUCAGAGAGUGAAAGAGACAAAAUAAAAAAUGGAUGUGGAGAGAUCCUCUUUGUGCAAUUGCGUUGUGAAUUUCUUGAUACAAGAGAACUAUCUCUUGACGGCAUUUGAAUUGCUUCAUGAACUCCUUGACGAUGGCAGAGACGACCACGCCAUUCGCCUCAAGGAGUUCUUCUCUGAUCCUUAUCUUUUCCCUACUGAUCAGAUCUCUCGUUUCAAUUCUCUUCGAGAAUGUAAGCGAUGCUCUUUUCUGCCCCUUUUAUUCUUGAAAAGCAGUUGCAGACCCUCAGAAUUUACUAGAAGAGAAAGAAGCAAUAGAAGAAAAAUUAGCACUUAGUGAAUAUGAGCUUCGUUUGGCAAAAGAGGACGUUUCGAAGUUCAAAACUGAAUUGCAGAAGAAAAAAGAUUUGCCACAGGUGGAAUUGAGUGAGUCAAAAUCAGAUGUUUCUGAGAACACCAGACCAGAUAUUCUACGGCAAAAGAAGGCCACUUCCUUCUCUGACUUGGGCCCUUUGAAGGAUAGUGAGCGUAGAGAUCUUAAUUGUGCCGUAAAGGAAUAUUUACUAUUAGCGGGAUAUCGGCUUACUGCUAUGACAUUCUACGAAGAAGUUACAGAUCAGAAUUUAGAAGUUUGGCAGGACACACCUGCAUGCGUACCAGAUGCCUUGCGACAUUAUUACUAUCAAUACCUUUCAUCCACUACAGAGGCUGCUGAGGAGAAAAUUGCCAUGCUUCGAGAAAAUGAGUCAUUAAUAAAAGCAAAUGAGAAGCUGAAUCAUGAAAAAGAGAAAUUGCUGAAAAACAAAGAUUUGGCUGAUAAUCAAAUAAGUGGACUAAAUAAAUCCUUAGAGGCUCUUCAAAAAGAUCUUAAGGAGAGGGAGAACCAGGUGCAGGAAUUGAAGCAGUCCUGGGAGCUCCAACUAAAGGAACUUAAUGAUUGUAGAGCUGAAAUUACUUCACUGAAAAUGCACCUCGAAGGAUAUCGUUCUGGAAGAAGCAUUAUGGCUAGUGAUGUAGAAAUAAUAUCAUUGCAGAUGGGAAUUGAAAGGUUGAAGGGCAAAAGCCCAAAAGCUCCUAAAUCUGUAGAUUCCAACAACAACGAGGAGUCUCUGCAGACAGAAGAGAAAGUUGUUGAGAUAGAUGAAGAUAAAACUGUAAUCUCUCAUCCAUAUGAUGCUAUUGGAGUGUUGAGCAGUGAAGAUGUUCAAUCACUGAUAACUGACAACUCUGGUAAACCUGAGGAAGUUUCAUCUGAUCCAUCGAGAAAUCAUUUAAAUGAAGAUAUUAAUAUUGAAAACAAUCAAAGUGACUUUAAACAAAAUGAUGAACCACCCUCGGAAGAUGGUGGGCCAUACAUGGAAUUGGACAAUUUAAAUGUUGAAGCUGCUUCAGGAAACAUGGCAAGUUCUUUUUCUUUCUCCUGGAAAUUAGAUUCUUUUCCGAUGCAACAUCCCACUUCCAUUUCUGUUCUCUCCCUUGGUAUUAAGUGGGUUAGACUGUUGUUAAAUAUUGGAACCUUGCAGGCUUGCAGCCAUUGAUACUAUUGUCAAGGGCUACCUUUUAAUAGCAUAAUUUCUUAGUCCUUGUUUUGCCUGCCUGCCUGUCCUUUUCAAAUAGCUCAGAUUUUAUUAUAUAACAUCUUGGCAGUAUGAUUUUGCUUUUCAGGGUUUAGAAACAAUUCAAAUCCUUGCAGAUGCCUUGCCCAAGAUUGUACCCCAUGUUUUGAUCAAUCAUCGGGAGGAGCUUCUUCCCCUAAUGAUGUGUGCAAUAGAGCGUCAUCCAGAUAGUACCACACGGGAUUCCUUAACCCACACAUUGUUUAAUUUGAUCAAACGUCCGGAUGAGCAACAGAGACAGAUCAUAAUGGAUGUAGGGUCAUCAAUUUUGACCAUAUAAUGGAUUCCUUGAAACAUUAAUUGCAUUCUACCAUAUCUACACAAUUUGAAUUUGAUGCUGGAUCUUCUGAGCUUUAUUGCAGGCAUGUGUGAGUCUUGCUAAGAAUGUAGGGGAGAUGAGAACAGAAACAGAAUUGCUUCCCCAGUGUUGGGAACAAAUAAAUCACACAUAUGAGGAGCGUAGAUUGCUUGUUGCUCAAUCUUGUGGAGAGCUUGCAGAGUUUGUCCGGCCCGAGAUCCGUGAUUCUCUAAUUUUGUCCAUUGUGCAACAACUGAUAGAAGAUGCUGCAACUGUUGUUCGAGAGGCGGCUGCACAUAAUUUGGCUUUGCUGCUUCCACUCUUCCCAAAUGUGGACAAAUAUUUCAAGGUCAGCCUCACUAAAUAUGCUUCGAGGCAAUCAUGGAGAAGAAUUCUGAUUUGACAGAAUUGGCUACAAUGUUGAGGAGAUGAUGUUCCAAUUGGUCUGUGAUCCCUCUGGAGUGGUGGUGGAAACUGCACUUAAGGAGCUACUUCCUGCAGUAAUAAAAUGGGGAAACAAGUUGGAUCACAUUUUAAGAGUUCUACUUUCCCAUAUCCUGAGCUCUGCUCAGCGUUGUCCACCUCUUUCGGGGGUUGAAGGCUCUGUGGAGUCACAUUUACGUGUCCUGGGGGAACGAGAGCGCUGGAGUAUUGAUGUGUUUUUGAGAAUGCUGUUGGAGUUGCUUCCAUUUGUGUACCAGAAGGCAGUUGAGGCUUGCCCUUUUUCUUCAGCAACAGAGUCAAAGGAUACAUUGUUCUCUACCUCAUCACUUGAAUUGUAUUCGAAGGGACACAUUGAAUGGGCAGCAUUUGAGUGGAUGCAUGUUGAUUGCUUUCCUGAUUUGAUACAGUUGGCCUGCAUGUUACCCCCAAAGGAAGACCAUUUAAGGAACAAAAGUACAAAGUUUUUGUUGGCUGUAAGUGAACACUUUGGGGAUUCUUAUCUGGUACACGUAAUGAUGCCUGUGUUCUUGAUAGCAGUUGGGGACAAUGCAGAUCUAACAUAUUUUCCAACUACCAUUCAUUCAAGAAUCAAAGGUUUGAGGCCAAAGACUGUUGUGGCUGAGAGGCUAGCUACAAUGUGUGUUCUGCCACUCCUCUUGGC
rnacentral:misc_RNA from 1 species